rnacentral:pre_miRNA from 1 species
ACAACAAUAGCCGUCGGUCUACCGAGCAACAUCACCAGCUCGGUGAAGGAUCUUUCCCACCGUCGU